rnacentral:rRNA from 1 species
AUUGAACGCUGGCGGCAGGCCUAACACAUGCAAGUCGAACGCGUGGCGGACGGGUGAGUAAUGUCUGGGAAACUGCCUGAUGGAGGGGUAUAACUACUGGAAACGGUAGCUAAUACCGCAUACCAUCAUAUGUGCCCAAAUGGGAUUAGCUUGUUGGUGGGGUAACAGCUCACCAAGGCGACGCUGCCUAGCUGGUCUGAGAGGAUGACCAGCCAGACUGGAACUGUGACACGGUCCAGACUCCUACGGGCGGCAACAGUGGGGAAUAUUGCACAAUGGGCGCAAGUCUGAUGCAGCCAUGCCGCGUGUAUGAAGAAUGCCUUCGGGUUGUAAAGUACUUUCAGCGGGGAGGCGUUACCCGCAGAAGAAGCACCGGCUAACUCCGUGCCAGCAGCCGCGGUAAUUC